rnacentral:rRNA from 1 species
CCUACGGGAGGCAGCAGUGAGGAAUUUUCCGCAAUGGGCGAAAGCCUGACGGAGCAAUACCGCGUGAGGGAUGAAGGAUUUUGGUCUGUAAACCUCUUUUCUCAAGAAAGAAGUUCUGACGGUACUUGAGGAAUAAGCAUCGGCUAACUCCGUGCCAGCAGCCGCGGUAAUACGGGGGAUGCAAGCGUUAUCCGGAAUGAUUGGGCGUAAAGCGCCUGUAGGUUGUUUAUUAAGUCCGUUGUUAAAGCCUAGGGCUCAACCCUAGAAAAGCAAUGGAAACUAGUAGACUAGAGUAUGGCAGGGGGUAGAGGGAAUUUCUAGUGUAGCGGUGAAAUGCGUAGAUAUUAGAAAGAACACCGGUGGCGAAAGCGCUCUACUGGACCAUUACUGACACUCAGAGGCGAAAGCUAGGGUAGCAAAAGGGAUUAGAUACCCCUGUAGUCCUAGCCGUAAAACGAUGGAUACUAGAUGUUGUUGUCAUUAUUAGUACUAGUAUACGUAGUACGUAACGUACGUUAACGUUAUACCGUCCGUCGGGUAGGUACGUCGUCGCGAGGGUAGGUAAACGUUAAAGGUAAAGUUAGUACGGCGUGAGACGUGCCGACGGACGACGACGAGGGAGGAGG